AAAAGUUAUCUGGAGCCUGGAGUAUGGAAACAUAUGUGUAACUCAACACCUCAUGGAAUCUGGAUAAGAAUCAACCCGCCAUUUGGGAGAAACCAUAAGAUGAAGUCAUAGCCCCUUCUUUGACCACCUAGGGAAACCACCACAGCCACAGUCAAGUCAACAUUGGGAGUAAGUCAUUUUUGGGAACAAGCUUUUUGGGAGUAUUCCAGCUCCUUUUCGUCCUGCCACCUGGGCCUACGGAGGGCAUGGGACCGCAUCAUCUUGAUGCUCAUUUCUGAGGAUGCAGCAGCAACCUCGUUAGGAGUCGUUUGGGAACAUUUAGUGUUGUGUUUUAAGUAACUAUGGUUUUUAUAUAUCAGACAUUUAUUUGAUACAUUAUGUUUAUUAAUUAUUUUUUUCAGAUUUAGCGUACCUUUGUUUUUAUAUGACAUAUUUGUAUACUAUGGUAUUUGGUUCCCAAACUUUGUAUCUACGGUAACUUCUUGUGCACAGGAAUAAGCCUAGAGAAAAUUAGGUUUUUAAUACUUUAUUAUUGGUUUAUGUAAUUCGGGUAAAUUUAUUUUUUAAUAUUACUAGCUUGUUUCCCAAAUAUUUUACUGUUAUUCGCUUUAUUCCAUUUGUUCGGUUAAUUUAUGUCAUCGUCGGUAUUUAUCUCAACUUCAUUUCUAUUUCAUUCCUUGUAUAUUUAACUUGCGUACUUCAUUAUUGUAUUUUCCCUUAGUGAGGCUUGGGCCUAUUUAUUUGUAGUAUUUUCAUCUUUGUCAGUUUCCUUUAGUUGUACGUCGCAGGCGUACUAUAACCAUUUGGUAGAAGACAUAUGUAAUUUUGUACACUAUAUGUAAGUAAGAGGUACUUAUACCUGUAAUUUGGUAACAGAUAACAUUAUUGUUGUUAUCUUAGAGAUAACUUUUUGUAUAACUUAUGUCAUUUUAGAGUCACAUGAUAUACACUUUGUGUAACUCAGAGAUUGUCAAAAAUCUAGUAGUUAUUUUUAAUAAAUAUGUAUUUAUUUUGUA
rnacentral:lncRNA from 1 species